CCUACGGGCGGCAGCAGUGGGGAAUAUUGCGCAAUGGGCGAAAGCCUGACGCAGCGACGCCGCGUGAGGGAUGAAGGUCUUCGGAGCGUAAACCUCUGUCAGCAGGGAAGAACGGUCACUGUGCUAAGCAGCAGUGAAUGGACGGUACCGGCAAAGGAAGCACCGGCUAACUCCGUGCCAGCAGCCGCGGUAAUACGGAGGGGGCGAGCGUUAAUCGGAAUUACUGGGCGUAAAGCGCUCGUAGGCGGUAUGUCAAGUCAAGGGUGAAAUCCCCGCGCUCAACGUGGGAACUGCCUUUGAAACUGGCAAACUGGAUUGUGUGAGAGGGUAGUGGAAUUCCAGGUGU
rnacentral:rRNA from 1 species